AUUGAACGCUGGCGGCAGGCCUAACACAUGCAAGUCGAACGAGUGGCGGACGGGUGAGUAAUGUCUGGGAAACUGCCAGGUGGAGGGGGAUACCUACUGGAAACGGUAGCUAAUACCGCAUACCAUCGGAUGUGCCCAGAUGGGAUUAGCUAGUAGGUGGGGUAACGGCCCACCAGGGCGACGAUCCCUAGCUGGUCGGAGAGGAUGACCAGCCAAACUGAGACUGAGACACGGUCCAGACUCCUACGGGAGUCAGCAGUGGGGAAUAUUGCACAAUGGGCGCAAGCCUGAUGCAGCCAUGCCGCGUGUAUGAAGAAGGCCUUCGGGUUGUAAAGUACUUUCAGCGGGGAGGCGUUACCCGCAGAAGAAGCACCGGCUAACUCCGUGCCAGCAGCCGCGGUAAUAC
rnacentral:rRNA from 1 species